AUGAAAUUUUCUACCACAUGAACCAUUUUAAAUCACCUCCUGCCUGAAUCAUUUUGAUGGAGACCUGAUGAAGGGUAUGUCAUGAAAAUUGGGAAUGACACAUUGAAUGAUGGAUCUUGAGCAAAUGUGGUUGCGUGAGCUGCAAUUGCCUGCAAUGGAGAAUAGAAGCAAUUCACAGAUGGAUGGAGCCUGUGAUUCUGUUGCUUAAGACAAUGAAAAGUCCCCAUCUUUGCUAAGAUUCUUCAUAUAUUGCUGUCUAGGAUAUGCUGAUGAUCCUAUUUGAAACACUAGAAUCUGUACUGGGCCAAGUUCUCCAGAUGCAUUAGAAGUCUUCAAACAAGAGCCAGUUGAAGAGCUCAUCUGUGUCCAUCUUGGGACAAUAGCCUGGGAUGGCGCUGUUGAUAUCCAAGUAGUUAAAUGAAAGGCCAAGAAGCGACAAAGCCAGGCACCAAAUCCAGAUUUCUGCACAUUCGUUCUGUUUUCAUUCAUUAAUUCUAUUCCCUCAUUUGGUAUUCCAACUUCAUCUGUUCAUUUAUCCAUCCAUUCACUCCAGUGCUCUGUGAAUGGAAACAUGACCAUAUCUGA